rnacentral:rRNA from 1 species
UAGGGAAUCUUCCACAAUGGGCGCAAGCCUGAUGGAGCAAUGCCGCGUGCAGGACGAAGGCCUUCGGGUCGUAAACUGCUUUUAUGAUCGAAGAUUAUGACGGUAGGUCAUGAAUAAGCUUCGGCUAACUCCGUGCCAGCAGCCGCGGUCAUACGGAGGAAGCAAGCGUUAUCCGGAAUGACUGGGCGUAAAGAGAUGCGUAGGCGGCUCGCCAAGUUUUUAUUGAAAUCUAGAGGCUCAACCUCUAGACCGGUAAAAAAACUGACGAGCUAGAGGACGGAAGAGGUAGCUGGAAUUCCCGGUGUAGGAGUGAAAUCCGUAGAUAUCGGGAGGAACACCAAUGGCGAAGGCAGGCUACUGGUCCGUUUCUGACGCUAAGGCUCGAAAGCGUGGGGAGCGAACGGG